CCUUGAAGGCAUCCUAGAUUGUGGACAUCUACGUGGCCUCAGAGGGUAGCAUGGUCCACUUGGAUCAAGUAAGCCGCUGGUGGAAACACGGCCCAUGGAUAUCAACAUGGUCUCAGGUGCAGCACAGACCACAACAUCCACAUGGCUUCCAGUGGUAACACAGACCACAGACAUCAACAAGGUACCCAUCCCUCACCCCACAGAGGGGCAGGCUAUCAUACAGAAGUCAAGGCAGGAGCAGAAGUGGAAGCCAUGGAGGAAUGCUGCUUACUGGCUUGUCCUCCCUUGACUUGCUCCGCUACCUGCCCAGGGAAUGGCACUGCCCACGUGACCUGGGGCCAUCCACAUCAUAGCAAUCAAGAAAAUGCCCUACAGACAUCCCUACAGGCCAGUCUGAUGGAGGUGCUAUCUCAUUUGGUUUUAAUCUCCAGUUACUUAUUUCUUGCCCAUCCCGACAAUCACUGCCCUCCUCAAAAAAUAAAGAGAAAGAAAGACA